GACGAACGCUGGCGGCGUGGAUUAGGCAUGCAAGUCGAACGGUAUCAUCCUUUCGGGGGUGAGGGAGUGGCGAACUGGUGAGUAACACGUAGGUUAUCUACCCUCAAGACGGGGACAACCCAGGGAAACUUGGGCUAAUACCGGAUGUGAGCAACUUUUAGUUGUUUGAAAGGUGGCGUAAGCUGUCGCUUGGGGAUGAGCCUGCGUCCUAUUAGUUAGUUGGUGAGGUAACGGCUCACCUAGGCAAUGAUAGGUAGGCGGCCUUAACGGGUGGUCGCCCACACUGGGAUUGAGAUACGGCCCAGACUCCUACGGGAGGCAGCAGUCGAGAAUAGUCUACAAUGGUCGGAAGACUGAUAGUGCGACGCCGCGUGAACGAUGAAUCCCUUCGGGGUGUAAAGUUCUUUUAUAUGUGAGCAGUGCUUCUUAUAUUAACAGUAUGGGGAGAGAGAUAUUAGCAUAUGAAUAAGCAACGGCUAACUCCGUG
rnacentral:rRNA from 1 species